CACGGCCAAAACCCUUAAAAUCGAGCUCAAAUUACUAUCCCAAUGCUCACUAAGGGCAAGACAGGGCCGGAUGACUGGCACGGGCAGACGAUAUAGUGGGAGCCCACAAGGGCGAUGAACCGCAACCGCUAAUUACUCAAUUCCUAAUCUCCUCACACCAGAACAACAGAACUACGUUCAACAAAUUGACCGAAAGGCCGCCUUUCUCAAACGUUCAAUCCAAGAUCUACGCCUCAGAUUACCUCCUCCUGAUAUUGCCCAACGCCUCGCCUCACAUUCCCGCUCACUCCAUUGCCUCCAAUGCCGCUCUUGCACUCCAUCUCAACUCUCACUCUGCCACUCGUGAACAGGUAUUCAAAGAGAUACUUGUGACCGGGCCCAAUUGAGGGAGGCAGCAUUAGAGGAAGAAAACGCUGCAUAUGAAAAGGCUAUAUCAAAUUCCAAAAGCAAAAUACAGGAGAAAUUUCAGGAAUCAAAUUCACUUUGAAGAAAGUUAAAGGGAAUGGAUGAAAUUGAAAAAAAAUUGGCAGCUGAGCUGGAAAGCAGGCAAACUGCAUCACUUGCCAGCAAACCGGGAAGGCCAGUUGAAUCUGCAGCAGAAUCCAAAAAGGUAGAUGAAACUGGAGAAGAUGCAGAAGUUCAAAAGUCUUCUGUAACAAAAAAACUUGAAGAAAAGAAAAUGGAAUUAGUCAGUUUUCUAAUUUAGUUUUCAUUUCUGUCUCAUUGAAAUGGGUUGUUGUUGCUGCUUUUGAUGCUUAAGAAUUGUAUGAUGCCCUUAGAGUUUGAUGGAAGAGGUAGUUCAAAAAUUGGAGAAAAAGUGGGCUCAGUUCAGCAUAACACACUGAAGCAGCCUUCCCCAGGCACAAGCAGAAGCUGGUCAGUGAAAUUCAUUUGAAAGAGAUGGAACUAGAUAGAUUGAACGGUUUGUGGAGGAGAAUUGAAAGCAGCAAUGUAGAAGCAUGAAACCAGUUUGGAAGGACCAACUCUGAGAGUGGAUCUUCUUCUAUAGAUUUUACUGAUGAUGCUCAUAACAAACUUCCUUAUUACACCUGCAGCCAGAGUGAGAGCCAGCAGAAGCUCAUGCUACUCAGGUCAGCUUUUGUACUCUACAUUUUAGCUUUGCUCAUUGCUACCUUCACCAAGAUUUCCUUUUGAAGAACAGACCUAGUAUACAUGCUAAAAGAUCUUAGCAAUAAUCUGUUAGUGUAAAAGUGAUGCAAUUUUUUUUUUCUAAAUGUACUAUACUCAAAAUUGUUUAAAAAAGUUCUGUACAUUAUUGUAAUUCCUAGAAGAAAAGAAAAGUAAAUCAUUCUUC